rnacentral:rRNA from 1 species
UGAGGAAUAUUGGUCAAUGGGCGAGAGCCUGAACCAGCCAAGUAGCGUGCAGGAUGACGGCCCUAUGGGUUGUAAACUGCUUUUAUAUGGGAAUAAAGUGAGGGACGUGUCCCUUAUUGCAUGUACCAUACGAAUAAGGACCGGCUAAUUCCGUGCCAGCAGCCGCGGUAAUACGGAAGGUCCAGGCGUUAUCCGGAUUUAUUGGGUUUAAAGGGAGCGUAGGCUGGUUGUUAAGCGUGUUGUGAAAUGUAGGAGCUCAACUUUUAGAUUGCAGCGCGAACUGGCAGACUUGAGUGCGCACAACGUAGGCGGAAUUCAUGGUGUAGCGGUGAAAUGCUUAGAUAUCAUGACGAACUCCGAUUGCGAAGGCAGCUUACGGGAGCGCAACUGACGCUAAAGCUCGAAGGUGCGGGUAUCGAACAGG